GGUGUACUCCCUCCGUUUUGGAAAUACUCGUCGAAGAAAUGGAUGUAUCUAAACGUAUUUUAGUUCUAGAUACAUCCAUUUCUCUGACAAGUAUUUUUGGAUGGAGGGAGUAGUUG
rnacentral:pre_miRNA from 1 species